rnacentral:tRNA from 1 species
UCCCUGCUGGCUCAGAUGGUUAAGAUUCUGCCUUCAAUGCAGGAGACCCAGGUUCGAUUCCUGUGUUGGGGA